rnacentral:lncRNA from 1 species
CUGGAAUGUAGCUCAGUGACAGAGGGCUUACCUAAAGUGUUCAAAGCUCUGAUCUUCUGGGAAAAGAGAGGUGAUGUGAGAAAAAGGCAAGGAGGGAAAGGAGGGGAGACUCCUAGGAGGGAAAGCAUCAGACCACCUUAAAGAGUGCCUGUGCUUCCAGCCAGCUUUCAGUGGAGUUCUUCCCCACCAGUUCUCAAGAGCACAAGGGUCUCCCUCUGAGCUUGGUUCUCACCAGUUGUCCCUUAUGGUCUCUCGAUGCCUCUUCCCCUGCAGCAUCCCCAGACAGUGCCUGCUGUCUAGGUCUCUCACAGUCAGAGUCACCUGAUGGCCAUCAUUUAUAAAAAC